CAAUAGCGUAUAUUAAAGUUGUUGCGGUUAAAAAGCUCGUAGUUGGAUUUCUGCUUGGUGCGACCGAUCCUCCCUUGGGCAGGUAUCAGGUUCGCUCUUAGCAUAUUUCUGGGAAGUGAGGUUGUGCCUCGUUGCGCGACUUCCUACCUGGGUCAGUUACUUUGAGGAAAUUAGAGUGUUUCAAGCAGGCAAAUGCCUUGAAUACAUUAGCAUGGAAUAAUAUUAUAGGACUUCGGUUCUGUUUUGUUGGUUUCUGGAACUGAGGUAAUGAUUAAUAGAGACAGUCGGGGGCAUUCGUACUUAACUGUCAGAGGUGAAAUUCUUGGAUUUGUUAAAGACGAACUACUGCGAAAGCAUUUGCCAAGGAUGUUUNCAUUGA
rnacentral:rRNA from 1 species